UUGAAGAGUUUGAUCAUGGCUCAGAUUGAACGCUGGCGGCAGGCUUAACACAUGCAAGUCGAGCGGAAACGAAGAUAGCUUGCUAUCAGGCGUCGAGCGGCGGACGGGUGAGUAACGCGUAGGAACCUACCUAAUAGUUUGGGAUAGCCAUUGGAAACGAUGAUUAAUACCGGAUACGCCCUACGGGGGAAAGCAGAGGACCUUCGGGCUUUGCGCUAUUAGAUGGGCCUGCGUGAGAUUAGCUAGUUGGUGGGGUAAUGGCCCACCAAGGCGACGAUCUUUAGCUGGUCUGAGAGGAUGAUCAGCCACACUGGAACUGAGACACGGUCCAGACUCCUACGGGAGGCAGCAGUGGGGAAUAUUGGACAAUGGGGGCAACCCUGAUCCAGCGAUGCCGCGUGAGUGAUGAAGGCCUUAGGGUUGUAAAACUCUUUCAGGGGUGAAGAUAAUGACGGUAACCCCAGAAGAAGCUCCGGCUAACUCCGUGCCAGCAGCCGCGGUAAUACGGAG
rnacentral:rRNA from 1 species